GGGAGAUAAUGUAACAAGCCACAUUUUUAGCUAGAAAUUGAACCUUCGUUCCUAUGUGUCCAAACUCUAAUCCCAUAAUUUAUAUUUUAAUUCAUGUGUCGUGAUUUUUAUCCUAUUUUAUGAAGUUCUCUCAAAGUGAAAGAUGUUCGUAGAAUUUACUGAGAUCAAUGUUGAGCUAAAAAUCUUUGAUUCGUCUAGAGUUUGGUAUUCGAUUCAACAAGGGUCUA
rnacentral:lncRNA from 1 species